UCUUCCUCCCACCAAACCAACAUUAUAAUACUACUACUACUACUACUACUACUACUACUUCUACUACGAGGCUACUCCACUUUCAUUCAGACGACUUCUAAAAAUAAAGUCCGUGAUUCACAAUGCAUGAAUGACAAUCAUACGAUCAAAGGAGAAACUAAUACGAGCCAAAAGAACACGCAAGAGAUUGCCAAGGCUGGAGUUACGAGGAACAAACGUGACGCACGACGGAAUUACGUGACUAAUAAAUACGUAAUAAUUUCUGGCCCACCCUAUACAAAUCCUACGCGAGUACCUGAAUUUUCAACUUUUACGAGUUCCCAACGCUCGCGCAAUGGAAAGUCAAGAUAUCGAUCUCUCAGAGGUCCCCUUCGCCACAUCAGGGACGUACCUCGUAGCACGAAUAAAAAAGGUUCUUACUACAUUUCAUAUCGUACCUUCAUUUCUUUUUUUCUUUCUUUUCUCUCUCUGUCUCUCUCUCUCUCUCUCUCUUUCUCUUUCUAUUGUAAUUUAUUAAUUUUUUUAUGAUUUGUUAUAUUAUUCUUUAUUUAUAUUUA